rnacentral:rRNA from 1 species
GACGAACGCUGGCGGCGUGCUUAACACAUGCAAGUCGGACGAUGAACCCGGAGCUUGCUCCGGUGGAUUAGUGGCGAACGGGUGAGUAACACGUGAGUAACCUGCCCUUGACUCUGGAAUAACUGCGGGAAACUGUAGCUAAUACCGGAUACGACCCUCGGCGGCAUCGCCAGGGGGUGGAAAGAAUUUCGGUCAAGGAUGGACUCGCGGCCUAUCAGCUAGUUGGUGAGGUAACGGCUCACCAAGGCGACGACGGGUAGCGGGUCUGAGAGGGUGACCGGUCACACUGGGACUGAGACACGGCCCAGACUCCUACGGGAGGCAGCAGUGGGGAAUAUUGGACAAUGGGCGGAAGCCUGAUCCAGCAACGCCGCGUGAGGGAUGACGGCCUUCGGGUUGUAAACCUCUUUCAGCAGGGACGAAGCGCAAGUGACGGUACCUGCAGAAGAAGCACCGGCCAACUACGUGCCAGCAGCCGCAGUAA